AAAGAAACUUGGAAAAAGACAAUUCCAGUAUACUUCCUGAAAGGAUUUUCAGUAAAAGACUAAUAAGCCAUAUACUGCGACAGUACUGUAAGUCAGAGGAAGAAGGCUAUGAAAUGGAGUGGGCAGCUACACACAUCAGGACCACUAAGGAGAAAGUUCUAGGUGAAGGCAGUCGUGAAGCACACACAUCCUACAGAAUGACCACGAUAUGGACUGCAGUUCUUCACACUGACAGCGUGAGAAGAAAGAAGAAACAGUGACGAAUUCACCCUGUGUAUUAAGGACCUCUACCACCUCCUCCCGUUAACCCCCACCUUACAUCCUUGUCCUGCACCUCUGGAAGCUCAUUUGUUAGUGCAAUGUCAUGUGUUCUCUUUAGUGCCUCAACUCAGGGUGCUGGUUGGAGGCAGCUGGGUGCUCCCUCCGUAUAAUAUGUGUCCUAGCCCAGGCUGAGGGGGCAAACCUGCUCCCUCUGGACUCUGUAUCCAGAUUAGGUAUGAGUUUGACAGAGAGCUGUUCUUCUUUGGAGUGUUAAUUCUGUCUUCAUUAGUGAAUUUAUGCAUAAAAGAAAGAAAACACGAACAGCACCAAUGUGAUCAUUCACCCAAGAGAUGUCCAUCCUGAAUCAAAGCAAACUGUGGCAGGUAAAAUCCAGCCUUUCAUUUCUGUUGGAAUGCAGCUGGCCAACCUCCCUUACCCUCCGAGCCACCUUAGAGGGUAAAGGGGCUAUGAACUUUGCAGAGAUUCACAAGUGGCACCCAACAUCCCACCAGUCUGCUGCAAGCACAAUGCUUUUAUUUUGAGACGAAGAGAUGAAGUCUGGGAAUCUACUGCGUGCCAAAGUCUUCCUGGAGAAUAUGGAGCUCCCUCAAAAUUGAGCUGGUGUGAAACUGCUCUGAGCCUACAAGUGCCUGCAAUACGACAAGUGCCUGCUGUACCACCACUCUCAUCUCUGAAACCAGUUUCUUCAUCGCCCCACAAUCGAUACAGAUGUUGCUGUAGUCAGGCAACAGAAUGCCAAUGCAGCACCCUGGGAACAGAGGAGCAGUUGUUUUCACCACAGCUUUCCCAUUUGGUUUAGCUCUGUCAGGCAAGGAAAGCACCUGCCUCUUUCCAACAAGAACUUAUUCAGCUUGAGCAUCUCCAUAUGAAACAAUUAAUGGAACAGAAAGGCAGUGAGAAGAAAUCCACCAAGGACUUCUGAGAAGUGAAGCUGCAGUCCUGCAAGGUGUGCCUAUUAAUGCCACAGGAGAGGGGCAAUAAUUAAAAAUGUGUUUUUCAGGACCACCGGCUGAACUAACAUGAACAGAGAUGCACAUGUGGUAAAGCAUCCUUCCUCCCACUCCAUCAGGCUGUACAUCAGUUAAGAUUUAUCACUGCUGAUGACAGAUACCUGACCUCACAUAACUCUUUAAGCACAGAGUUUUGUUGUAACAGUUGUAGUUAAAUAAAGUGUUAUUUCUCUUAAGCCUUAAAUAAAAGAACAGUGGAAAACAGUGGGAAGAAAUAAGCUUCACCCCUCAUACUGACCUGUUCAAGCGACUUGCCAGCCCACCCAAUGGCCUUCAUCUUUCUCCUUAUCUCCCAUUGCUUCUGAUAGGACAAAAUGCGGUUAAGAGGCCAGGGGUAAGGGGAGCCAUACCUCGGGUGAGUAAUCUUUGGUAAGAAACAGAAAGUGACUUUGUUAUCAUAUAAACAAUGCAGACAGCUCUAUUUACAAAACAGCUAGUAGUCUCAUCUUUCUAUCACUGAGAGCAAUAAAGAGAAAGAAUGUUGUGUGAUAUGCUGCAAUUAUUUGUGCAGAAUUUAUUGUUUUCAGUAGAACCAUUUAAAAUUACUACCUUGGAAACAUAUGCAAAACUCCUAUUUGUUCCACAGUCACAUACCUCCAGUCAAGUUACAACUUCCCUAAAAUGUAUAUGCAAGCAGAAUGCAAGUGAAAAGACUGUAUCAUUAAUGGUACAGAGCUCAAUGUUUCAUUUAUGAGUAGGGACUUCCAUUUGUGAGCAAAAGUGUUUUCUCAUUAAAUUUUAAUUAAGAUAAAUGUUGCAGA
rnacentral:lncRNA from 1 species